AAUCUGCUGGGGACUUAAUCUUGGAGUUUCCAGUCUCCAGAAUUAUAAGAAAUAAAUUUCUAUUAUUUAUAAAUUAACCAAUCUAAGGUAUUCUGUUUAGCAGCCCGAAUAAUGGACUAAGACAGACGCCUAACAUAUGAUCUAUCCUAGAUAAUGCUCUCUUCGCAUUCAGGAAGAAUGUAUAUUCUGCUUCUGAAUGGAAAAAAACAAAAUCAGGAUCAGGCACGGUGGCGCAUAAGGCCAGGAGUUUGAGACGUCUAGGCAACACAGCAAGAUCCAUUUGGUCCAAAGUAUAGUUCAAGUCUAAUGUUCGCUUAUUGAUUUUCUGUCUUGAUGAUCUACUGUUUGUUCUAAGUGGGGUGCUGAAGCCCCGUGCUAUUAUUGUAUUGCUGCCUAUUUCUCUCUUUGUGUCUGUUAAUAUUUGCCUUACAUAUUUUGGUUCUCUGGUGUUGGGCACAUAUAUAUUUACAAUUGUUAGUCCUCUUGAUGAAUUAACUCCUUUAUCAUUAUAUAAUGAUCUACUUUGUCUGUUUGUCAAUUUUUGACUUAGUCUAUUUUGUGUGAUAUAAAUAUGGCUACCUUGCUCUCUUUUGUUUUCUUUUUGCAUGGAAUAUCUUUUUCACUUUCAGUUUACAUGUGUCCUUAAAGCUGAAGUGAGUCUCUUGUAGGUAGCAUAUAGUUGAGGGGAGGGGGGUCUUCUUUUUUUUGUUGUUGCUGUUUGUUUGAUAGGGUCUUAAUCUGUCACCCAGGUUGGAGUGCAGUGGUAUGAUCACAGCUUACUGUAACCUUGAACUCCUGGACUCAAGCAAUUCUCUUGCCUCAGCCUCCCGGGUAGCUAGAGGUACAGGCAUACACCACCGUACUGAGCUAAUUAUUUUAUUAUUAUUAUUAUUAUUAUUUUUUUUUUUAGAGAAAGGGUCUCAUUGUGUUGCCUAGACUGGUCUCAAACUCCUGGCUUCAAGCCAUCCUCCUGCCUUGGCCUCCCAAAGUGCUAAGAUUACAGACAUGAGCCACCUGGCUCUGUUUUUUUUUUUUUUUUUUUUUUUUUUAGUCCAUUCAGCCACUGUAUGUCUUUUGAUUGGAGCAUUUAAUUCAUUUACACUCAAUUAAUGAUAGGUGAGAUUCCAGUGUUUCCUCCAGAAAGGCACAUUAUUCCUCCACCAUGGUCUUCUUUUUCCUGUGUACCUUGACCCUGUAGGAGAUGAGACUUCUAAAGUGAUUCCUUUCCCUCUUUUCUCCUCAUCACCCCUUCCCACUCUCUAAGGUGAGAUCCUUGGAACAUUUUUACGUCUCUUCUCCCUCUCCACCUAUAACUCCUAGGUUUUCCUGGAAUUCUCUAGGAUUUUAGUCCCAGAUGAUUACUGGAAUUUUCCUUGCUGUAUGUCCCUCCUGUUUCCAAAGGACUUAUGUAGCAUUUACACUACAUAACCCCCAGUAGCCAUGAAUAUCCACUUAACCUGUCUAUACUGGGUUCGUUUUUCAUCAGUAUUGUGUUUCCUCUCAUCUCCCUAUAUCUUGAAGUCUCAAUCUAACUCUCACUUUUGAAGAUCUUUGCUUGAUUAUUUUCUUCAGAUGGGAAUUGCUGGUGGUAUACUCUUCACAUUCUUUUGUGUUAACAGUUUCCUUCUUUUGCCCUGGUGGGUGAAUACCAUCUUGAAUAAGUAGAGGAUCAUAAGUUGUUUUCAGCUUAGCUAUUGGCAAAUGUCAUUUCCAUUGUCUACUGGCUUCCAAUGUUGACAGUAAGAAGUCAGAUGCCAAUUUUCCCCUUUGCAGAUAAUGUGUACUUUCUGUUGAUUAGCUUGUCAGCAUUUUGUUCUGUUUUUGUUUUAAACUUUCAGGAAUCUUACCAGGACAUGCCCAAGUGAGUGUUUUCCUUUAUCAAUCAAGUCUAGAACUCUGGGAGUCAUUUCAAUCUCUAGACUCCAGGGUCUCUUCAGUUUAGGAAUAAUUUUUUGUAUUACACACUUUAUAAUUAUUCCCUCUCCUUUGUUUCCUUUUUUCCUGAGAUUGGUAUCAUUGCUCAUGGUAGGUCUCCUGGAUCCAGCCCCAAGUCUCAUCUUUCCUCUUAUUUGUCCACCAUUUUGCUUGAUCCAUAUGGUGAGAAUUUUUUCCAAUGUAUUUCUAGUCACUAGUUCAUAUCUCUCCAAUGACCAUUCUCUCUUUAACUCAUCUACCAAAUUGUUCAAUGGAACAGCUGCCAGAUAAAGUGCAGAACAACUAAUUAAAUGUGAAUCUCAAACAAACAUUGAAAUUUUUAGUGUUUUCAGGUGCUGGUUCCAUGGCUCUUCCUGAGCCGAAAAUAAGGAAACUCCAUAGACCUUGUCCACUGGAACUCGUUCCCAUCUACCCUCCACUCUAUCCAGGGUGAUGGAUCUCUGCAGUAAGUGGAAGAGUUCUUCAUGGCCCCCAAGGUUAUAUCCAUCUAGAACUUCAGCACGUAAUUUCAUCUGGAAAUAGUGCCUUUGCGGAUAUAAGUUAGGUAAAACUGAAGAUGAGAUCAUACUGGAUUAGGAUGGGAUCUAAAUCCAAUGAAAAUGUCUUCAUAAAAAACAGGAAAGAACCCAUAGAAACACAAGGAAGAAGGUCAUGUGAAGAUGGAGGCAGAGAUUGGAGGGAUGCAGCCACCGGCCCAGGAAUGCCAGCAGCCACCCAGAAGCUGGAAGGAAAUGAGGGAUUCUCUCCUAGAACCUUUAGAGAGAACAUGGUCCUGUGAACAGCUUGAUUUUGGACUUGCCCAUAGCUUGUAUACUCUUACUUUGGAUACAAUUUUAUCCAAACUUGGCUAAACAGUUUCUCAGCCUAUGGAAAAUUUAAAAUGGAGAAGAUUCAACUCGAUUCUUACAGAUUCAAAGCAAGAAAAUGAUGGGAACAUAGGAGGAGACCAAGAAAGCCUAUAAAAAGCAAAAAUAUGAAGUGAACAUUGUGGUAGCUUUAAGAUGUUUAGUGUAGCUGCAGGCACCCUAUACACAUGAAAACCCCCAAGGGGAAUCCCCAUAUCACAGUGUAGUGUGAUAUUUGACAUUCGUGAUCAUCUAGAGAUGUACAGAAAAGGUGAAUCUGUGUUCUGUAUAUUCUGCCUAAGGCAAAGAAAUGUUUAGCUCUCUUUAAAAUAGUUCCAUAAUUUUUUCUAAAAAGCUUUGCUUGAAAACUGUAAGCUUCCCAUAUCUGGAGCAUUUCACUUUAAAUAUUUGGAUAAAUAUGUUAUCUUCUUACUUGGACAUUUCAUGUGUUUAGGGAUUGUCUUCUAAAUUCUUCCUAAUUCAUAUAGCUGCUAACACUUCCCGCAGAGCUAAACCAUUACAGAUAUGAAAUAAAGACCUAUUGAUUUGACUUACUUUUACUUGUAAAACCUUCUGAGUGUUAUAACCUCAUUUAAUCUUUCAGCAUUUACAGUUUCAAGAGUUUGUGUCACAAUUAGAAGAAUUCAGCUGCACCUCCAAGUGACAGCAGUUGCUCUGGUUGGUGGGUGAUCUCAGGAGGCUUGAGAAUUGCUUUGUCUGUGAGGGAAGUAAGACAUUUUCAGAGCCCCACUUUAGAAGGUGUGAACUGGCUAGAUAAUGAACCCCAGGGCUAACGCUGCUAUAGCAGUGGGAAGGAGGUGAUGGGUUUUCAGUUUGGACCUCAAACAUCAAUACCCUCCUGGUACGGGGAGGAACAGAGUCCCUCCUUUACUUCUCCAUUAGAAAGAAUGAGAUGGCAAGACAAUGAAACAGGCAAAGUGAACAGAGAUGCAAGACAAAAUUCAGGUGAGAGAGCCAGAGCAUCACUCAGCCAUUCCUGACAUGUAAAACAGGCAACUAGAAAUUUGCAGAAAGGAAGCGAAGUCUCCAUAAAGAUGUUUUUAAAGUGAGCUUGAAGUAUUUGGAGACAAUUCAGUGUUACAUAAAAUCUGCAAAUCUCUGGAUAAAGAAGCAGAGAUCCCAGCAUGGGACAAAUGGAGCCUCAAAAGUGGGAAGAAGACAGAGAAGACCAGGGCAGAAUGCAUCUCUUCCUUUCUCUUGGCUUUCCUGGAUAAGGACUGCAUCAUUCCUGUGGAAGGACAGGCCAUCAGCUCCGAAACACUGUAUGUAUUUUCCAGUAUAUACUGCUAGCUGUGUGAUGUUGGGAAAAUUUGUUACCCUGUCUAACCCCCACUUCCCUCAUCUGUAAAAUGGAAAUAAUGAUAGUACCUACCUAUCUCAUAGGUGGCAACUACAAGGGGCAGCACACUCAGGGAAUUAAGGAAGUUUCAGUGAACAUCAACUUUAUGAACACAGUGUUCAUAAAGGCAGGUCAGUGCAGUGGUUUGGGAGCCAGGAGAAGCACGUGGGCCGGAGUGUGCCUGCAGGAGACAAGGUCAGAGAUGUUGCUAAUAAUGGAGAAUAAAGGAUGCAUUCUCAUUACUGACCUUGGAGUCGUUCAUUCAUUCCCAGAAUGUGUUUUGUCAGCUUACUAAAACACUAAGUUAAAUAAUCCCAGGUUUUGUUUAUU
rnacentral:lncRNA from 10 species